GUAGCGGCGAGUGAAGCGGCAAAAGCUCAAAUUUGAAAUCUGGCUCUUUCAGAGUCCGAGUUGUAAUUUGAAGAAGGUAUCUUUGGGUCUGGCUCUUGUCUAUGUUUCUUGGAACAGAACGUCACAGAGGGUGAGAAUCCCGUGCGAUGAGAUGAUCCAGGCCUAUGUAAAGUUCCUUCGAAGAGUCGAGUUGUUUGGGAAUGCAGCUCUAAGUGGGUGGUAAAUUCCAUCUAAAGCUAAAUAUUGGCGAGAGACCGAUAGCGAACAAGUACAGUGAUGGAAAGAUGAAAAGAACUUUGAAAAGAGAGUGAAAAAGUACGUGAAAUUGUUGAAAGGGAAGGGCUUGAGAUCAGACUUGGUAUUUUGUAUGUUACUUCUUCGGGGGUGGCCUCUACAGUUUAUCGGGCCAGCAUCAGUUUGGGCGGUAGGAGAAUUGCGUUGGAAUGUGGCACGGCUUCGGUUGUGUGUUAUAGCCUUCGUCGAUACUGCCAGCCUAGACUGAGGACUGCGGUUUAUACCUAGGAUGUUGGCAUAAUGAUCUUAAGUCGCCCGUCUUGAAACACGGACCAAGGAGUCUAACGUCUAUGCGAGUGUUUGGGUGUAAAACCCGUACGCGUAAUGAAAGUGAACGUAGGUGGGGGCCCGUAUGGGUGCACCAUCGACCGAUCCUGAUGUCUUCGGAUGGAUUUGAGUAAGAGCAUAGCUGUUGGGACCCGAAAGAUGGUGAACUAUGCCUGAAUAGGGUGAAGCCAGAGGAAACUCUGGUG
rnacentral:rRNA from 1 species